CAGUCGCCACGGUAAAACGAAGGGGGCUAGCGUUGUUCGGAAUUACUGGGCGUAAAGCGCACGCAGGCGGCUCGAUAAAUUAGAAGUGAAAGCCUUGGGCUUAACCUGAGAAUUGCUUUUAAGACUGUCGAGCUAGAAUCCAGAAGAGGGUAGUGGAAUUCCGAGUGUAGAGGUGAAAUUCGUAGAUAUUCGGAAGAACACCAGUGGCGAAGGCGACUACCUGGUCUGGCAUUGACGCUCAUGUGCGAAAGCGUGGGGAGCAAACAGGAUUAGAGACCCCUGUAGUCCCUGUCUCUUAUAC
rnacentral:rRNA from 1 species